rnacentral:rRNA from 1 species
CCUACGGGGGACAGCAGUGAGGAAUAUUGGUCAAUGGGCGCGAGCCUGAACCAGCGAAGUCGCGUGAGGGAUGACGGUCCUACGGAUUGUAAACCUCUUUUGCCGGGGAGCAAGCGUGCGUUCGUGAACGCGCGUCGAGAGUACCCGGAGAAAAAGCAUCGGCUAACUCCGUGCCAGCAGCCGCGGUAAUACGGAGGAGGCGAGGGUUAUCCGGAUUUAUUGGGUUUAAAGGGUGCGUAGGCGGGAUGCCAAGUCAGCGGUAAAAAUGCGGUGUUAAAGGCCGUAGAGCCGUUGAAACUGGCAUUCUGGAGUGGGCGAGAGGUAGGCGGAAUGCGUGGUGUAGCGGUGAAAUGCGUAGAUAUCACGAGGAACUUCGAUUGCGAAGGCGACAUACCGGCACCCUACUGACGCUGAGGCACGAAAGCGUGGGUAGCGAACAGGAUUAGAUACCCGUGUAGUC